GGUUUCAGUUUAAUCCACCCAGAAAAGAAAAACCCUCAUGGUUGUUAGGAAGUUUAAGCCCCAUAGCAACAAAAUCAUACCAUGAAGCUCAAAGUGGGUCAUCCCUCAACUACUAACUAUCAUCUCCAGCCAUACUAAUUAAGGGUCAUAGGAGCUGUAUUUUAACCGAUACAGAGGGCAUCAUGGAGACUGGGGAAAACUAUUCUAAGAACCCCAGGAAGGAUCUGCUUUAGAAGAAUAAAUGGAAAGCAAGUGGAAGGGAACCUCCAGUGAUGAAAAACGUCAAGUUAUCUGCUGUUCAUGAAGUCAUCAGGAAUCAAGCUCAAUUUUUCCUACCUUAUCCUUCUAUCCUUUCUGUUGUUUUUGACAAGACUGUAAGCCUGAGGGCAAGAAAUGUUUUGUUUUAAUUGAUCUAGAAAAGCCUUUUUAGCUUUUCUAGCUGAAAAGCAGAUAUUUCAACUUUAAAUAAAAAAAGCAAUAAAUAUGU